AUCGAGGUCCGGAGUCAGUGGAAUACCGAUUUCGCUCCCCUCCCAUUGACAUACACUUGACCUCCGA
rnacentral:snoRNA from 14 species